CCUCCUCCUCUCUAAUGUAUCUAUACUAGACUGGUUCUCCCUCCUCCUCCUCUCUAAUGUAUCUAUACUAGACUGGUUUUCCCUCCUCCUCCUCUCUAAUGUAGCUAUACUCGACUGGUUCUCCCUCCUCCUCCUCUCUAAUGUAGCUGUACUAGACUGGUUCUCCCUACUCCUCCUUUCUAAUGUAGCUAUACUAGACUGGUUCUCCCUCCUCCUCCUCUCUAAUGUAGCUAUACUAUACUGGUUCUCCGUCCUCCUCCUCUCUAAUGUAGCUAUACUAGACUGGUUCUCCAUCCUCCUCCUCUCUAAUGUAGCUAUACUAGACUGCUUCUCUCUCCUCCUCUCUAAUAUAGCUGUACAUGACUGGUUCUCCAUCCUCCUCUCUAAUGUAUCUAUACUAUACUGGUUGUCCCUCCUCCUCCUCUCUAAUGUAUAUACACUAGACUGGUUGUCCCUCCUCCUCACUAAUUUAGCUAUGCUAGACUGGUUCUCCCUCCUCCUCCUCUCUAAUGUAGCUGUACUAGACUGUUUCUCCCUCCUCCUCCACUCUAAUACAGCUGUACUAGACUUGUUCUCCCUCCUCCUCUCUAAUGUAGCUCUACUAGACUGGUUGUCCCUCCUCUAUUAUGUUGCUGUACUAGACUGGUUCUCCGUCCUCCUCCUCUCUAAUGUAGCUCUACUAGACUGGUUCUCCCUCCUCCUCUUUAAUUUAGCUAUGGUAGACUGGUUCUCCCUCCUCCUCCUCCUCCUCUCUAAUGUAGCUGUACUAGACUGGUUAUCUCUCCUCCUCCUCUCUAAUGUAGCUGUACUGGAUCGGUUCUCGCUCCUCCUCUCUAAUGUGUCUAUAAUAGACUGGUUCUCGCUCGUCCUCCUCUUUAAUGUAGCUGUACUAUACAGGUUCUCCCUCCUCCUCUCUAAUGUAUCUAUACUAGACUGGUUUUCCCUCCUCCUCUCUAAUGUAGCUAUAGUAGACUGGUUCUCCCUCCUCCUCUCUUAUGUUGCUAUACUAGACUUGUUCUCCCUCCUCCUCUCUAAUGUAUCUAUACUAGACUGGUUUUCCCUCCUCCUCCUCUAUUAUGUAGCUGUACUAGACUGGUUCUCCCUCCUCCUCCUCUCUAAUGUAGCUGUACUAGACUGGUUCUCCCUACUCCUCCUCUCUAAUGUAGCUAUACUAGACUGGUUCUCCCUCCUCCUCCUCUCUAAUGUAGCUAUACUAUACUGGUU
ensembl:lncRNA